GGCGGCUUAGCUCAGUUGGGAGAGCAUCUGACUUUUAAUCAGGAUGUCACAGGUUCGAGCCCUGUAUCCUCCA
rnacentral:tRNA from 1 species